GAACGAGUAUAGAUCACGUAGCUGACCGGCAGUUCUGCGCGUGAUGCGUGGUAGUUAUAAGCAUCCGUAUCACAGCCGGACUGCUGAUCUGCCGAUCUUGCUUCUUCU
rnacentral:pre_miRNA from 1 species